rnacentral:lncRNA from 1 species
GUUUAUUAUUUUGUGUGAUUUUAGUUCAGAAAAUAUUUAGUUAGAUUUUUCUAUUUUGCUUGUAAAUGUAUUUACAGACUCAUGUAAUUGGAUAGAUUUCAAUAGACUCCGCUCUGAAUAUUAGAAAAAUAUCAUCCAUGAAGUUUUGGUAUUCUUAGUUGGUCAAAUAAGAAAAUAUGACGGUUGAUAUGUUAAAUGAACAAGCCUUAAUGUAGAUGACUGUUGUGGCUGUUUUGUGGGUUGUG